UACUUCCUUUACAGACCACUGGAAGCGCUAGGGGUCAAAGGAAGCUGGAAUUGACCAAUGAGAGCUGUGCAAUGGCGGUUGUUGAUCUGUCGUCUUGAUCUGUAGUCGGUACUGAAAUCUACAGUCGUCUUUGUUUUAUGUUUACAUAUUACUGAUCUUCAUGAUAAACAGUUUCUUAUUUUAAAUUUCAUAGCGUUCACCGUGAAAUAGAGGAGAUUUCCUGCUGAAAAAUGUCCACAAUUAAUCCUAAGAAUAUUACAACACAACAAUCUGACAUUUAAAUACUCCUGUAAAUUCCCUGGCUGUUCAUCUGAAUAUUACGUGGUUUGAACGGAGGAAGUUAUCAACAAGCAUUUAUACAGGUUUCCAAAACAACCGCAAUAGUUGCUUCUGAAGUGGAAAACUGUUUGUAAACAGUCACCUGAUGUGAACUGUGCUACUUGUUUUAUUUGUGAAAAUCAUUUUUUCGAAGAAGAUUUUAUGAAUAAAAUUAGGCAGUUUAAACAGGGAUGUGUUUCCAAAACAUCUGGUAGGUGUUCCCUGUAAAAUACUUGUAUCAGAAGUGAGUCAGAUGAAACUGUUGUUAAUAGUGAAUUAGGCCUACCAAGCACUGGUGGCGUUAUGGUAAGUAUUCAUUAUACAGCUGCUAAUACCCGAAGUGAAACUGGUGUUAAUGAACUACAAAGCUUUAGUUGUCCUGUGGCAAGAAGUUCUCAUGCAGCUGUUAGUACCAGAAGUGGAUCAGGUGACACAGGUGUUAAUAGUGAAUUAGGCCUACCAAGCACUAGUGGUGCCAUGGAAUAUUUUAUUAUAUAGGUGCCAACACCAGAAGUGAAACCGGUGUUAGUGAAUUACCUAGCACUAGUUGGGCUGAGCAGAGUAAUUCAUUGAGUGAUCCCCCUCUUAAAUUUUUUAUCUCGUUCCAAAAUGUAUCUGCAGAUGAUGAGAACACAUUACACAAUUUGUAAUGAGGAAAGUGGGAUUUUAGGUGCACGGGUCUCAUAUUUUUUUAAUUAGCCUAUUUAUUUUCGAGUUCCAUGGAUCCUUGACACGAAUGUAUCGCUAGGAUGUAGAACGUGUGAGGUUAUUACAGUAAUAGCCACAUGUAUAUAAUUAUGAGGCAACCGAUUUAAGAUAUAUAAGCAGAUACAUGAAAAAGGAUAUCCACAUGUCAAAUCAUUACAUACAAAAAUUCAGAUAACAACACAGAUAAUAUUACAGAAACGACAUAGAUGAUUGCAUAAAUAGUAGUACAGUAAUGGCAUAUAUGAUUACAUGAACAAAUUUAAAGUAAUUCAUCUAAAAAAUAUUCUGCCGACAAGUGAUAUGCUAAUCUACAUAGCCUAAUCAGUCGUAUUAGAAAUGCAUGAAAUUAAAGACAAAUUCAAAAAGUAUUACACAUAAUCAAAGAAUUCCUGUAAAGAAUAGAAAGAAUUAUGCAAAAGAAAAAGUUUUAGCUCUGUUUUGCAUUUAAUAUGAUCCCCAAUGACUGAUUUGAUAUGGACAGGAAGUUUAUUGAACACUUUUAGAAUGAACUCCUUUCUGUACCAUGCUGAGAUUUUUUAAAUCAUUGUGAAGAUGGUUUUCUUCUUGUAUUGUGAUCAUGGUAGGCACUAUUCAUUUUGUAAAUUGCAUAAUUUUUGUUCACAAAGCACAUUAGUGACAAGAUGUAUUCACAAGGCAUGGUGAGGAUCCCCCAGCAGUGUGAAUAAGUUUCUGCAAGAACAUCUAGGAUCCACUCUACUCAUAAUCCUGAUAACUCUCUUCUGUGCAACAAAGAAUUUAUUUGCUUGUGGUUGAGUUCCCCAGACGGUAAGGCCAUAUGUCAUAAGUGAAUGGAAAUAACCAGCAUAUGCAGUUUUUAUUGUUUCCAUGUCACAAACAGAUGCAAUUGAGCGAAUGGCAAAUGCUGCUGAAUUCAGUCUUUUACAUAGGUCAGUGAUGUGGACAGACCAAUUUAGUUUGUUAUCAGUAUGUAAAUGCAGAAAUGUGGAAGAUACAACUUUCAUUAUUUCUUUGUCUCCACAUUUCAUUUCAAGAUUUUCCAAUUUUUUGUUUACUGUUUGAAACUGAAUGAAAUGAGUCUUAUUAACAUUUACAGUGAACCAAUGUAGAAAUUCUUGGAAUAUAGUGGUUGCAGUGUUCUCUAGACUGCAGUUGGGUACCUUGUCAAUCAUGUCUCUGUGUCAUCUGGAGAGGGUGAAGUGUGUUUCUUGGGUUACACACCAUGGGAGGUCAUUUACAAAGAUUAAGAAAAGUAAGGGACCAAGCACUGAGCCCUGUGGCACUCCACAUUUUAAUUUACCUCAAUCACAGCUGGCAGGCGCCUUUGCACAAUUGUUUAAUACUACCUUUUGAUUUCUGUCAUCUAGAUACGACUCAAGCCACUUCCCUACUGUAUCUUUUAAGCCAUAAUGCUCAGUCUUUCCUAGUAGAACAGUCUUUCCUAGUAGAAUCUUGUGAUCUACACAGUCAAAUGCUUUUGACAGAUCACAAAAGAUUCCAACUGGUGACAUUUUCUUGUUUAUUGAUUCAAGAAGUUGGUUGACGAAAGAGAAAAUGGCUUGUUUAGUUGAAACACCCUUUUGGCAUCCAAACUGAUUUUUAUUAAAGAUGUUAUAUUUAUUAAGGUGAGCCAUGAUUCUAUUGUACAUAAGUUUCUCAUGGAUUUUUGAAAGACGUGUUUACAAUGAAAUUGGGUGGUAGUUAGAAACCUCUGCUUUAUUUCCCUUUUUUUGAAGAUUGGUUGAACAACUGCAAAUUUUAGUCUAUUAUGGACAGUACCUUGAUUUAGAGAUUCAUUAAAUGUGUGACACAGAACUUUAAGAAUAUAUUUGUGGCAAUGUUUCAGUACUUCGAUAGAUAUAUUCUCCACACCAGUGGAAUUUUUGUUUUUCAUUUGGCGUGAUGUAGGGUUCACACAUCAGGCGCUAAUUUUUCUCUGCACUGCUUUUUUUAGAAGGUUCAUAGAUUCAUCCAUAGACCCUUUACAUCCAAUUUGAUCCGCUGCUGUCAGAAAAUGAUUGUUGAAGAUGUUGACAACUAUUUCCCCUUCAUCUACCAUGCUUCCAUUGUGACACACUUGGAUACUGUCUGUAUCCCCUGAAACUUUUCCUGGCUCCCUUUUUACCACCCUUUGUUCUUUCCUUCAUAAUUCAGAUGCAUCCCGUGCCUGGUAUGCUGACAUCUGUCCAAUUUGCCUAUAUCAAGGACACUGCGUUUUGCGAACAAAGGACACAUUUGUUUUAUUUUCAUGUUAGUUUUUUGACACACGAGUGAUAUAUCAAGUCAUUUAUGUGUGGUAAUGUUGAGACAAUAGUAUUACGUUGUUCAUUUCGUUCUAGGAAUUUAUUUAUUUCCGUUAGGCAGUCAUCUGCUUCAUUUUUUGCACCAUCGUUUGAACCUGCAAUACACACCACAAAGUCAUUCUUUCUUAGCAAUUUGUCAUGCAGAUUGACACCAGUAAUAUUUUUUGUUGUAGUGUUUCCUGUGUCCUUUGAAAAGUUUUGUCACGUUUUUGCCGUGACUGUUGGUUAAAAAUAAUACACUACUUCCAUACUGUUUUACAUUUUUCUUGAUUGUGUUCUUCUCAUCAGCGGAAUAAUAAAACAAAGAUCUGUUACGAAUCAAUAUAUCUGCAAAAUAAACUAUGCCAUAAAAGAACAAUGUGACGUGCUUGGGGCAGUGUUCAUUGAUCCCAAGAAAUUUCUGAAUGAUAAUUGCUUAGGAAAUGAUAGCCUGUGCAUCUAAAUAGAUUGGGGUCUCAAACACUCAGUAUAAUGUUCACAGAUGUUUGCAAGAUAAUAAGAAGCAAGGAAAACUAAAAAGGCUUGAUAGGGGUGAAAAACUAGACAAAGUAGCUAAAACGUCCAAAAAUAAGCAUCAUCCAAGAAACGUGGAAGGACCGAAUACAGACCUAAAAAUUCGUUUUCUAAAUACUCAAGGACUGAACAACAAGGAACUGGUAUUAAAUGUUGCUUAUUACUUCACUCAGAACUCGAGUUUCAAAUAUCACUUUAAAAAGUCUUAUUACCUAUGUCAUAAUGCAAUUGCAAGAACUAGGGCUAAAGGUAAUUUGUACAGUUUGAGACCAGGAUGCAGCCAGCCAGAGAGCACUGAAGAAAUUCUGCUGUGAGAAAUCUACUGAGUCCAGUCCUUUCAUUUUUUAGUCUCAGUGAUGAACCUAUUGCUGUACUUUAUGAUGCCCCGCAUCUAUUACAGAAUACAUGAAAUGCUCUGCUAAGGAAUAAAAUACAGUUUGGGUUUUAAAAAAAGGCCAGUUUUGAAUUUAUUCAAAGGGCUUUUCUUCUGGCUCAGCAAGAGAUUGCCAAAAUUACAGAGGAAUCAUUUUAGAAUUUAAGGGUUCUUUUAGUAAAAUGAAAGUCAAGGUAGCUGCAGCCCAGCUUAGUCAUACAGUUGCUGCAGUUAUUGAAACUUAUGUUGCAUUUAAUAAUUACCUUUGAGGCAAUAUACAGUGCACAUUUUGUUGAAAACAUGAAAUGUUUAUUUGAUUCACUGAACAGUUCCCAUUAUUAUCCACAAGAUGUCAAAUGUUAUAAGUGUGCUCUCUCUGCAGACUCUUCACAUAUUGAAAUGUGGUACAAUAUGUUAAAGGAUAUUGAAAAUUGGAAAGUGUUGCAGCAAGGAACAGGAAGAGAUAAGACAAAAAUGUUCAGUUGCAUAAGUGGGUGUCAGACUAUAAUAAUAUCACUGGUGGUUCGUUUGCAGUAGAUUUUAAAAAGUUGGCUUUAAUUUUUUAAGCAUGAGGGCUUUCAAUCAAGACCCAUUUAAGAAUGUAUUUUGUUGAAUGAGGCAGCUUGUGUGGCAAAACACAAACCCAACUUGCUUUCAGUUCAAAGCAGCAAUGAAAACAGUUGUACUCAAUAACCAUGUCCAUACCUAUAAAUUCACUAGGUAAUUGUGAGGAUAAUAGAUGCAUGCCAUUAAACAGUAUUUGGUAGCAAGGGAUGACAGCUUUCUUGGCUUCACAAUAGACCAUUCCAUUAUUGAUCGAAGUGCUUUAUACAGUGCCCUUGCUGACAAUGAAGCUGCUGGUUGUGGUGGUGAAGGGGCUGAUGUAAUAAAUGGUAGAUAAGCACUAGCAUAUGUAGCCGAUUGCAUUUUACGAAACAUGGGUUCAACACCUGAAAACAACUCUGUUCUCACCGGGUUGACCAAAGCGUCCGAUCCCACCCGUCGGCUAGGGCUCGUGACGUAAGAUUGCUGUGGUGUGUGACGUCUUGACAGCACGGAGCUUGGUUUGUGAGUGUGGCGUGUUUGUAGGUGUCCGUGGUGCCCUCUGGCGGUGUGUUUAGAGGUUUCGUGUUGUGUGGUGUAUUAGGUUCAGUUUGGUGUUACUGCUUGCUCUGGGUGGUGGAGAUGAAUUGUUUUUCAGUGAGUGAACGAUUUAGUGUUUGUUGUGUGAAACUUAUUGUAGUGCUGUUCACUGUAGGUCGUGUGUUAAUUUGAGUAAAUUAAUUUGUUGUUGCUCUUGUUAGGUAUGGCUAUGACUGAUAAAGUUAACAGUGUGCAUUUGCAUGCUGAAAUGGGGGCGAGUCCGAUGGUGUUGAUUAAAUUUCUGCAGCUGUUUGACUUGUUGGCAGAGGUUGUGCUGUUUGUGGUCAAGACAUGAAAUUGGCAAAAGUUCCUGCGUCUCGGACCAGGGACGAUUAUAUGUGACAGUGCCAUAGGGAUAACCUGUGGCGCUCCAUGUGUUGCAGUUCCUGGUUUGAGAAGUCUAGGUUGGGCAUGUAUAAAUCACAGCUUUUGUGCACAUGAGACUGGUUUGAGUGAGAGGAGUGUGCUUGAGUGGUUUUUGUUUCGUCGUGAUGUGUGUUCGGAGUUUAUUAAGUGCAGGGGUAAGUUGGGUGGGCCUGUGGUUGUAGUGGAGGUGGAUGAGUGACAGUUUGGGAAAAGGAAGUACGAGAGGGGUAAGUCUGUGGUUGGUGUCUGGGUGUGGGGGGCUGUUGUAUCAGAGGGGGGGGGGGGGGUGUUCGGAAUGUGUUUUUAGGGUUGUGGAGGGGUAGAUUAAGAGGGAAUUAGUGGGGUUAAUUGAGGAGUUUGUAGAACCGGGUUCUACUGUAGUUUCUGAUAUUUUUUCUUCUUAUAGGGGGUUGAGUGAGAGGGGGUACAAUCAUUUAAUAGUGAACCAUAAUUUGGAGUUUCAAAAUUAUGAAACAGGGGCUUGUACGAAUGCCAUAGAGGGGAGGUUGGGGGCCGUUAAGUCAGUUCUUGGGAGGAGGAAGAGAUGCUCUUCUAACUUUCAGUCUCAUUUAGAUGAAUACUGUUGGCAGGAGAGUGAGAGAGAGAGAGAGAGAGAGAGAGAGAGAGAGAGAGAGAGAGAGAGAGAGAGAGGUUGCUGACUAUGUUGUGGUGCCGGAAUUUUGUUGUGGCAAGUUUUUACUUCUCUUUUUUUAGUGUAUUUGUUGUGUGUUGUAAUGGCUGGUGGGGUGGUUCUGAGUUGUGUGGUUUGUGGUAUUGUUGAUUUUGUAUUGUAUGUUGGUUUGUAGGUAUGUAGUUGAAGAGAAGUUUUUGAUUCCAGUGUGUGGUCAUCUGUGGGUGUUUUGGUAUUGGGAGUUGCUGUUGACCUAUAUAGGUCAAGGGAAGUGUCCGAUUCCAGAGGGUAUUUGGGGGGAUUUGUGUUGUCCUUUUUUUCCGUCAUCGUGUGUGGUUUGGUAAGGUGGUGUGUGUCUAAAUUUGUUUGUAUUUAGUUUGUCCACACCCAAAAACCCCCAUUUUCCCACACUUGUCCUGUUAGUUUGGUUAGGUUUUUUGUGGAAGGUGUAUGUGUGGGUGGGGGGGUUUCAAUGUAUUUUCAUGUUUGUUGUCAUUUUUACGUAAUGAUGGCGCCAUAUUGUAGUAGUAGUGGAUGGUCGUUCCCACCAUAUUUCUGAUAUCAUGGGUCAAACAGGUCGAGUUGGACGUUUCCCACAGAACAUCAUUUAUUUCCAAAUUUCAAGUGUAUGCUAGUGUAAGCUUAAUGUCCCUUAUAGCAAAUGUUCAUAGUUGUAUGCAUUUUUAGAUAAAUGUGGACACCAGGAAAAACUGGAGAAUAUAUUUUAUUCGCUGUUUAAGUUUCAAGAGGAAAUAACAUUUUGCAAAGUCCAUUUUUGUGAACAGUAUGUUUUAAGAAAAUGUGUACUUCUUUUGAUUUACAAGUAUGUGAGAGAUUGGAAAAACACCAUCAGUAAUAAAAGACUUAAUGCUGUUAAAAACAAAAUUAGUAAAAGGUUUAAAACUGUACGAUAGAAGAAAAUUUUUAUUGUGUGCUUGAGAAAUAAAAAGUAAGUUUUGUUUUCA